ensembl:ribozyme RNaseP_nuc Nuclear RNase P
GUGGGUUGAAGCUCAUUGUAGAGGUCACAUGCAGAGUGCUCGUCACUCCACCAAUCACCUCGGGGAAGGUCUGAGACAAGAGCCAAUAGUUACCCUCGCAGGGUAUCACCUGAUUUGGGUGAGCGAGUGAACAGAAAGCUAUGGGCCAAAGUGAGCACUUGUCGCAGGAGAAGCUAAGUGACGCAGAUUCCAGUGUCAUGAAGCGGAUGUGGCGCUCACGGGCUUGGAAUCGCUCGCGGCUAGCAAAUGAGUGCGAUGUAUGAGGUGGGGCACAGCUCCAGAACCCAAUUCAGACUACUCUCCACCCAC